GAAGGACGGCGCCAGAUCCCAAGCUGACCCUGUCCAAGGCUGCAGCCCAGCAGCUGGACCCCCGAGAGCACCUGAACCAGGGCAGGCCCCACCUGUCGCCCAGGCCACCCCCCACAGGAGACCCUGGCAGCCACCCACAGUGGAGGUCCGGAGUGCCCAGAGCAGGGAAGCAGGGCCAGCGUGCCGUGAGCGCCUACCUGGCUGAUGCCCGCAGGGCCCUGGGGUCUGCAGGCUGUAGCCAGCUCUUGGCAGCGCUGAGGGCCUAUAAGCAAGACGACGACCUCGACAAGGUGCUGGCUGUGCUGGCCGCCCUGACCACUGCAAAGCCGGAGGACUUCCCCCUGCUGCACAGGUUCAGCAUGUUUGUGCGUCCACACCACAAGCAGCGCUUCUCACAGACGUGCACAGACCUGACCGGCCGGCCCUACCCGGGUAUGGAGCGGCCGGGACCCCAGGAGGAGAGUCUUGUCGUGCCUCCUGUGCUUACCCAUGGGGCUCCCCAACCAGGCCCCUCACGGUCCGAGAAGCCCGGGAAGACCCAGAGCAAGAUCUCGUCCUUACUUAGACAGAGGCCAGCAGGGACUGUGGGGGCGGGCAGUGAGGAUGCAGGUCCCAGCCAGUCCCCAGGACCUCCCCACGGGCCUGCAGCGUCUGAGUGGGGCCUCUAGGAUGUGCCCAGCCUGCCACACCGCCUCCAGGAAGCAGAGCGUCACGCAGGUCUUCUGGCCAGAGCCCCAGUAAGUGCCCACGGAGGCCCUCGGCACACCCAACGUGGCUUGAUCACCUGCCUGUCCAGCUCUGGUGGGCCAAGAACCCACCCAACAGAAUAGGCCAGCCCAUGCCAGCCGGCUUGGCCCGCUGGGCCCGCUGCAGGCCUCAGGCAGGCAGGGCCCAUGGUUGGUCCCUGAGGUGGGACCGGAUCUGGGCCUGCCUCUGAGAAGCCCUGAGCUACCUUGGGGUCUGGGGUGGGUCUCUGGGAAAGUGCUUCCUCAGAACUUCCCUGGCUCCUGGCCUGUGAGUGGUGCCACAGGGGCACCCCAGUUGAGCCCCUCACCGGGAAGGAGACGCCCGUGGGCAUGUGUCCACUUUUAAUCAGGGGACAGGGCUCUCUAAUAAAGCUGCUGGCAGUGCCCAGGACGGUGUCUUCGUGGCCUGGGCUUGGUGGUGGGAGUUGAGGAGGGACGGAGUUGGCAAAGGCCCCUCCCAGCCUGCCACGUGACAUUGUACUUCCUCCACGGUGGGCUCAGCCCUGCCCUCAUCCUCACAGCGGCAGCCAAGCUGCAAUUGGUAGGGGAUCCACCAACACACCAGGCUGCCUGGGCCGGUCUCUGGGUUGGGAGCUGCCCCAGGUGCUGAGGAGGGCGGUUCCCUGGCUGGUGAGGCCCCUCACAGAACCGCCCUUGGACUGAGCUCUCGGGAGGGAUGGUACCAGGUGGGUGAGGGGGGCUGCCUGGGGAAGGAGGAGUUCCUAUGGGGCGUGGCGAGGCUGGCCCAGCCCUCUCCCCACCCAUAUAUGUAGGGCGGCAGCAGGAUGGGCUUCGGGACUUGGGCGGCCCCUCGGCAGGCGGACUGGGGGCAAAGGAGGCGGCAUGUUGGUCAGGCACAGCAGGGUCCGGUGUCCGCGCUGAGCCGCGCUCUCCCUGCUCCAGUAAGGACCAUGAGGGCGCUGGAGGGGCCAGGCCUGUCGCUGCUGUGCCUGGUGUUGGCGCUGCCCGCCCUGCUGCUGGUGCCGGCUGUACGCGGAGUGGCAGAAGCACCCACCUACCCCUGGCGGGACGCAGAGACAGGGGAGUGGCUGGUGUGCGCCCAGUGCCCCCCAGGCACCUUUGUGCAGCGGCCGUGCCGCCGAGACAGCCCCACGACGUGUGGCCCGUGUCCACCACGCCACUACACGCAGUUCUGGAACUACCUGGAGCGCUGCCGCUACUGCAACGUCCUCUGCGGGGAGCGUGAGGAGGAGGCACGGGCUUGCCACGCCACCCACAACCGCGCCUGCCGCUGCCGCGCCGGCUUCUUCGCGCACGCUGGUUUCUGCUUGGAGCACGCAUCAUGUCCACCUGGCACCGGCGUGAUUGCCCCGGGCACCUCCAGCCAGAACACACAGUGCCAGCCGUGCCCCCCAGGCACCUUCUCAGCCAGCAGCUCCAGCUCAGAGCAGUGCCAGCCCCACCGCAACUGCACGGCCCUGGGCCUGGCCCUCAAUGUGCCAGGCUCUUCCUCCCAUGACACCCUGUGCACCAGCUGUACUGGCUUCCCCCUCAGCACCAGGGCACCAGGAGCUGAGGAGUGCGAGCGUGCCGUUAUCGACUUCGUGGCUUUCCAGGACAUCUCCAUCAAGAGGCUGCAGCGGCUGCUGCAGGCCCUCGAGGCCCCGGACGGCUGGGGUCCGACACCAAGGGCGGGCCGCACAGCCUUGCAGCUGAAGCUGCGUCGGCGGCUCACGGAGCUCCUGGAGGCGCGGGACGGGGCACUGCUGGCGCGGCUGCUGCAGGCGCUGCGUGUGGCCAGGAUGCCCGGGCUGGAGCGGAGCGUCCGUGAGCGCUUCCUCCCUGUGCAAUGAUCCUGGCCCCCUCGCCCCCACUUAUUUAUUGUACAUCCUUGGCACCCUACUUGCACUAAAAGAGGCUUUUUUUAAUAGAAGAAAUGAGCUUUCUUAAAGCUUAUUUUUAUAAAGCUUUUUCGUAAAA
rnacentral:sRNA from 1 species